AUUGCUGGCGACCGGCGCACGGGUGAGUAACACGUAUCCAACCUGCCGAUAACUCGGGGAUAGCCUUUCGAAAGAAAGAUUAAUACCCGAUGGCAUAGUUCUUCCGCAUGGUAGAACUAUUAAAGAAUUUCGGUCAUCGAUGGGGAUGCGUUCCAUUAGGUUGUUGGCGGGGUAACGGCCCACCAAGCCUUCGAUGGAUGGGGGUUCUGAGAGGAAGGUCCCCCACAUUGGAACUGAGACACGGUCCAA
rnacentral:rRNA from 1 species